rnacentral:rRNA from 1 species
GAUGAACGCUGGCGGCGUGCCUAAUACAUGCAAGUCGAACGCAGUGGGGACGGGUGAGUAACACGUGGGUAACCUCCCAUCAGAGGGGAUAACACUUGGAAACAGGUGCUAAACCGAUACUGAUGGAUGGACCCGCGGUGCAUUAGCUAGUGGGUGGGGUAAAGGACCACCAAGGCCACGAUGCAUAGCCGACCUGAGAGGGUGAUCGGCCACACUGGAACUGAGACACGGCCCAGACUCCUACGGGAGGCAGCAGUGGGGAAUCUUGGGCAAUGGACGAAAGUCUGACCGAGCAACGCCGCGUGAGUGAAGAAGGUUUGCGGAUCGUAAAACUCUUUUGUUAGAGAAGCGGAAUCUAAACAGAAAGCCACGGCUAACUACGUGCCAGUAGCCGCGGUAAUAC